GGGAAUCUGCCUUUUGGUUUGGAAUAACACGAGGAAACUUGUGCUAAUACCGGAUAAGCCUUCACAGGGAAAGUUUUAACGCCGAAAGAUGAGCCCGCACUUGAUUAGCUAGUUGGUAAGGUAAAAGCUUACCAAGGCAACGAUCAAUAGCUGUUCUUAGAGGAAGACCAGCCACAUUGGGACUGAGACACGGCCCAAACUCCUACGGGAGGCAGCAGUGGGGAAUCUUGCACAAUGGGGGAAACCCUGAUGCAGCGAUGCCGCGUGAGUGAAGAAGGCCCUUGGGUUGUAAAACUCUUUCGUCGGGGAAGAAAAUGACUGUACCCGAAUAAGAAG
rnacentral:rRNA from 1 species